rnacentral:rRNA from 1 species
UACGUAGGUGGCAAGCGUUGUCCGGAUUUAUUGGGUUUAAAGGGUGCGUAGGCGGUCUUAUAAGUCAGUGGUGAAAUACGGCAGCUCAACUGUCGAGGUGCCAUUGAUACUGUAGGACUUGAGUACAGACGAGGUAGGCGGAAUUGACGGUGUAGCGGUGAAAUGCUUAGAUAUCGUCAAGAACACCGAUAGCGAAGGCAGCUUACUAGGCUGUAACUGACGCUGAGGAGCGAAAGCGUGGGGAGCGAACAGG